rnacentral:lncRNA from 1 species
GUGUCCAUAUACAAACUAUUUAUAACUAAAAAAUAAUUUAAGUUCUAUCAUAUUGCUGUGCUGUUUGUUCAAUUUAUAUAAUUUAUACAACUACUUGUAUUUGUAUAUAUACACACACAAUUGUUAAAAGAUAUUUUGGAUAUUUCAACUACUCGGUGGAAUACAAAUUCAUGUGGUUCCUAAAGAGUAGGGUAGUAUUAUUUUUUGACAUGUAUGUCUCUUUCACUUAGUGUUUUAUUGGUAAAAGAUAUAUAUUAGAUAGAGUAUACAUAUUUUUUACGAUGUUUUAUUGGAACGGAGAGGAGAGAGAUGUUGAAUAAACACUUAUGCUUUAAACAUUCAAUUAAGCUAUUUAUCCAAACAGGGCCUUAUACUGUUUUUGUUGUUUAAGGAAUUGAUUAUGAGGAUUUGAGUAACAAAUAAGUGUUGAAUUGUAUAUUUUAUUUUGCUGAUUUUUUAUCUCUUGGUGUGUGUUGUGUUUGUUGUAGAUUUGUCAGCGGUAAAGAGCAAGGAUCCAGAGUGGUACAUGUCCCACAUUUUACUGUUUACUCUGCCGNNNNNNNNNNNNNNNNNNNNNNUGUCCGUUGAAACAAACUGCCUCUCUCUAUCUCUCCGCCGCUUUUGAUCUCUCGACCACUGUAUCUCCAAAUCGCCGUCUCUGACUCAUCAUAGUUCUCACGGUCGAGGUGUUUAUUUUCCCCUUUAGAGUUUGAAGAUGGUUUGAUUGAAAUUGAAGAUUGCCAAUGAGGAUUGAAGUUGUUUGAUUGAAAUNNNNNNUUGAUUAUGCCGAAAAAUCUAAUCCUGUAUUGUUUCAACUUGUGAGUUUGAUUAUGAUUAUUUUAAAAAUUCAAGCAUGACUGAGCUUCUUUACUGAUAGCAUUAUUGUGUAGCGGAAUUUGAACAAACCACUAUUUUCCAAAAUCUACGAUUGACAACACUGAAUUUAUGUCUCAUUUGUUGCUAUUUUGUAUUCUACGAUGUCAAGUAUUAUGUGCA